UACGGAGGGAGCUAGCGUUAUUCGGAAUCACUGGGCGUAAAGCGCACGUAGGCGGAUCAUUAAGUCAGAGGUGAAAGCCUGGAGCUCAACUCCAGAACUGCCUUUGAUACUGAUGAUCUAGAGUUCGGAAGAGGUUGGUGGAACAGCUAGUGUAGAGGUGAAAUUCGUAGAUAUUAGCUAGAACACCAGUGGCGAAGGCGGCCAGCUGGUCCGAUACUGACGCUGAGGUGCGAAAGCGUGGGGAGCAAACAGG
rnacentral:rRNA from 1 species